CUUGGAUAGAAUAUGUGUUGUGUUUGGGUUAAUCUAUGGAGGAUGCCUUGGAAGGAGCGGUGAUUUUUGGAGCUGAGGAAAAAGAGGCAUAAAUAUAGUCUGGAGAAGAAUUCCAAGAAGGAUUAAAUGAUGUGCAAAUGAAGCCUUGGGUUUAGGCUUUGUGGACAGAUUCCUGGUGAGAAGGAGUCUUGAGGGGAAGAACUGGAAGGUGCGUUGGAAGAUUUUUGCUUUCUCACUUACAAAGUCUGGGUCUAACUCAAAAGACAUUCAGUUUUGUAGCACUUUGCAAUCUAUCAAGUGAAUUCCAGAGAAGAAAUAUGUAGUAGUCAGUGUUUAGAUUUGGCUUGUCUGAGGAGCAUCUUCAUGCAAUGGGCCUGAACACAUUUCACCAACACAAGUGAAGUAAGCCACAGGAGUACAAGCCCUAUAAGAAACGGAAUAAAGAGGGAGACCAUAACUGUCUAUUCCUAAAUGAGUUGGAACAGCAGCAGAGACCAUAAUUUUUCACCAAAAGAAAAUAUACCAUUCAACACUUAUAAACCUCAGUAUGCUGCCUGCUCACAAGAACAAAGCAGACAAGUACCUGCUAAUACUCCAUUUAAAAUACAAGUAAGCCACACUAUUAUACCUGCCUUUCCAAUUUACUUGGAUGUGGGUUUCUUCUAUAUGCUUGAAAGAGACUACAGGUCACAACUCUGUCCUGACAAACUCUAGCAGACUACUCUUCAAGAGACAAAGUAGCAGAAAUACCAUGACAAUAAAAUUCUGGUAUUGACCCUUUGUUUCAGGAAUGUGAAAUAAGACAGUGACAAAACAAUUGUCUGGCGCAGUUUCAAGGUGGGGAACAGCCAACAUGUCUUUGGGUAGGGAAGAAAACAAUGCCUAAAUCUCUGUAAUCAUAUGUAAUCUUGUGUUAAGUACAGUGUGCCUUCAGAGGCUAUGUUCACACUUAUUUAUAUUUGGAUAUAGAUGCUAGAUGGAAGUGGAAAAAAAAAAAAAAAGGAGAGUCUGCUUUGGUAGCCAAUCCUAUGAGUAUUUAGUGAUCCUGCAAGUAGUUGACCAUAGGCCAUGUGGGCAGGGCUGUCAAGGUGUUCUGACUUUGAUUUCUGGUUGAUACAUACCGCAAAAGCCAUUGUUCCAAGAGAGAGAUAUUUUCAGAAAUGUUUUAAAAAUAAGGCCAAAUGAGAGCUCUCUCAAAAUAAUAAUCUCAGCAGGUCUUUCUUUGUGGUUUGUCUGUCUCUUAGGUGUUUAUAUUGCCCCCAUCACCAUAGUAUCUGAGCACUUCAUGGUCCUUCAUAUGUUUAGCAUCACAACACCCAUGUUUUACAGAUGUAGAACUGAGGCACAAAGACUUGCCUAUGAUAUAUAGGGAGACUGUGACAAAGCAGAGACUUGAACCCAGGUCUCUGGAGUCCUCAGCUAGUGCCCUAUUCAGUGGGCCAUCCUUCUUUAUUUGGUUAGUAUGCUGACCCCAAAGACCUGCUACAUAAUAUCUUGUGACCACCACAGACUCAUAACAGCAGAUUAUCCUGGGCCUGAUCAUGCUCCUAUUCUAGCAAUCUGAGCCUGGGAUCAUGCCCCAUGUUU